rnacentral:misc_RNA from 1 species
GCCUUAGGUGGAACGCGCCCUUAUAAUUCUUAAAUGUCUGUAAUGUUUUGACCACUAUGCUCCAUGGUUUUGACUAUAAUAUUUAUUCUACUCUAUGGUUUUGACCAUGGUUUUGACAUAAGUUACGGAACUUUACUGAUUACGGAAUUAUGUCAACUAUCCAGCGACGAGAGGUGGAUUGUAGGUUACUUUUUAGAAUUACCAUUAAGUACAUUUAAUUUUAUUAUAUAAAAGUUAUGACCAGUAUGUUAUGACUUUAAACACGUUAACCAUGAAAUGUUAUCGUAAUUCGUUAAAUAUUUAAAGUAAACAUUUCUUCCUAUGUUUUUCAUUUUGGGAGCAGCAUUGGAAUAUUCUAUGAUUAAUUGGAGAGUUGGGGAAGUUAACUUUUAUAACACUUUUAAGAAAAGACAAGCGAAAGAUAUUGUAGAAGACAAAAUUAAAAAAUAUUCUGCAGUUUAAAAUGCCUGCUGGUGUUACCUGGACUCAAUACAUAGCGUUUUCGACGGCUGCUUUGUUUUCUAUGCUGGCUGGUUCACAAAUGGUACACAUUCAUUAUAAACCCCUUGAUGAUUUACAGAAGUAUAUAAACAAAGAGUUAGAGAACUUUCCUGUCCAUGUCCAAGAAAAGAUAAAGCAGGAGCUCAAAGAAGAGGGUGUGUUAAAAUAAAAGUUUAUGAAAAUACUUUUUCUGGAUUUUAUUGGAAGGUCCUCCUAUGGCAAUGGUUUCUUUAAAGUAUUCAAAACAUCAGGCAUCUAAAAACCCAAUAAACUGCGAUAAAAUCCAAAAAAGUUGUUUCAUUAUAAUAAAAAUUUAUAUAUUUAUAAACGAAUAUGAUUCAUAGUUUUUUUUGUAACAUAGUAUUGUUAUAUGUAGAAAUCCUAUUAUAGCUAUGUUUAUAUAAACUAGUUAACCCUUAUGUGUAGUUUUAUUUUUGGCUCUGUAUUAUAGUGAACAGUUCUAUAAUCAAUUUGGUGUGUCAAAAGCAAUUUAAUUUAUAAUGUAAUUGAUUUAUUUGAAUGUUAGUGUAAUUUGA